rnacentral:rRNA from 2 species
UACGUAGGGUGCAAGCGUUGUCCGGAAUUAUUGGGCGUAAAGAGCUCGUAGGCGGCUUGUCACGUCUGCUGUGAAAACUCGGGGCUCAACCCCGAGCCUGCAGUGGAUACGGGCUAGCUAGAGUGCGGUAGGGGAGACUGGAAUUCCUGGUGUAGCGGUGAAAUGCGCAGAUAUCAGGAGGAACACCGGUGGCGAAGGCGGGUCUCUGGACCGAUACUGACGCUGAGGAGCGAAAGCGUGGGGAGCGAAC